CAGCCGCCGCGGUAAUACCGGCGGCCCGAGUGGUGGCCGCUAUUAUUGGGCCUAAAGCGUCCGUAGCCGGGCCCGUAAGUCCCUGGCGAAAUCCCACGGCUCAACCGUGGGGCUUGCUGGGGAUACUGCGGGCCUUGGGACCGGGAGAGGCGGGGGGGAACCCCGGGGGAGGGGGGAAAUCCUAUAAUCCCAGGGGGGCCGCCAGGGGGGAAGGCGCCCCGCUGGAACGGGUCCGACGGUGAGGGACGAAGGCCAGGGGAGCAAACCGGAUUAGAUACCCGGGUAGUCCUGGCUGUAAAGGAUGCGGGCUAGGUGUCGGGUGAGCUUCGGGCUCGCCCGGUGCCGUAGGGAAGCCGUUAAGCCCGCCGCCUGGGGAGUACGGCCGCAAGGCUGAAACUUAAAGGAAUUGGCGGG
rnacentral:rRNA from 1 species